GAUGAACGCUAGCGGCAGGCCUAAUACAUGCAAGUCGGACGGGAUUCAGGAGCUUGCUUCUGAUGAGAGUGGCGCACGGGUGCGUAACACGUAUGUAACCUACCUUUAUCAGGGGGAUAGCAUCUCGAAAGAGAGAUUAAGCCCGCAUAAAAUCACAGCACAGCAUUGUGUAAUGAUCAAAUAUUUAUAGGAUAAAGAUGGGCAUGCGGAACAUUAGCUAGAUGGCGGGGUAACGGCCCACCAUGGCGACGAUGUUUAGGGGAUCUGAGAGGAUGGCCCCCCACACUGGUACUGAGACACGGACCAGACUCCUACGGGAGGCAGCAGUAAGGAAUAUUGGUCAAUGGGCGGAAGCCUGAACCAGCCAUGCCGCGUGCAGGAAGACGGCCCUACGGGUUGUAAACUGCUUUUAUACGGGAAUAAACCCAGAUACGUGUAUCUGGCUGAAUGUACUGUAAGAAUAAGGAUCGGCUAACUCCGUG
rnacentral:rRNA from 1 species